GUGGGGAAUCUUGCGCAAUGGGCGAAAGCCUGACGCAGCCAUGCCGCGUGAAUGAUGAAGGUCUUAGGAUUGUAAAAUUCUUUCACCGGGGACGAUAAUGACGGUACCCGGAGAAGAAGCUCCGGCUAACUUCGUGCCAGCAGCCGCGGUAAUACGAAGGGGGCUAGCGUUGCUCGGAAUUACUGGGCGUAAAGGGCGCGUAGGCGGACAGCUUAGUCAGAGGUGAAAGCCCAGGGCUCAACCUUGUAAUUGCCUUUGAUACUGGCUGUCUUGAGUUUGGGAGAGGUGAGUGGAACUCCGAGUGUAGAGGUGAAAUUCGUAGAUAUUCGGAAGAACACCAGUGGCGAAGGCGACUCACUGGCCCGUUACUGACGCUGAGGCGCGAAAGCGUGGGGAGCAAACAGGAUUAGAAACCCGGGUAGUCC
rnacentral:rRNA from 1 species